GGCGAUGGUUGUAAAAAAUGUUUGUGGCCCAUGGCCCAUGGGAAUGCUCGAAACUUAGAAUGAAAUAUAUUACCUAUUGAUUUCCUCUUACCUUCAAACCACAAGGCCGUUAAACACAGCUGUGCCGGGAGUAACGUAUAGACGCUGCUUUGGGUAGGCUGAGCUCUAUUGAUAGACUGAUGAGAACCGGAAAAGCGUUAAUCCUAAGUGUUAGUGUUGUUGUUGAAGGAAGGGAAUGACGGAUAAGGAAUAGACAGUGUGGAUAUAUGUACAACACAUGGACUGUUC
rnacentral:lncRNA from 1 species